UGGCCGACCUGCGAGGCCACCUGCCCGUGGCCAACCUGCUGAAGCGAGCGGUGGAGAAGCUGGCGAGCCUGGAGAGCGCCCUGU
rnacentral:ribozyme from 1 species